rnacentral:lncRNA from 1 species
AUUUUUUUAUUAUAUAUUUCAUUUCUAACUCUUUGAUUGAUUUAUUAGGAGAAACUAAAGGAUAAAAAGGUGGAGUAUGAAGCGAUUGCUUCGAGUGAUAGUUCUGUUAAUUUUGAGGACUUUGAUAACAGAAUUGUGACAGCCCAAAAUUAACCCUAGUCGGGAAGUGGUUUCGGGACCGCUAAACCGAGUCACCGAAAGGUUUGAAUGUGAUGUUUAUUGUCUAGAAUAUGUAAUCAUGAAUGUGUGAAAAUUUCAAGCUUCGAUUUAGUCGAUUGCAUGUGAAUUUAGUCAAUAGGACUUAUAUGAGAAAAUUUUAAAAUGUGAUAGGUCAAUGCAUGAAGACCUAUUAGUGCAUGUGCAAGAAAAAGGGGACUUGCAUGUCAAAUUCCCCCUCCCUAAUAUGUAGUGGCCGGCCAUGCUAUGGGUGGAAACAUGUCACCAACAUGUUGUGUUAGUGAUGUAUGGUAAGGAAAAUAAAAUAAUAAGCAUGAUAAUUAAAUAAUGAAAGGAAGGGUGAUGAAAAAAAAUAAUAAUAAUGGUCUCAUGCAUACACCCCAUUGCCGUGAGCUAAAGGAAGGAAAAGAAAGGUUUUGUUCAUCCUUUUUCAACCUCUUUUGACCGAAAAUCCUAAGGAAGAGGAUUAGGAGGAAGUUUGGCCAUGCAUGUAACUAGAUUGAGGUAUGUUGAAUGUUAUUCUUUGAGAUUCAUGUAUAUUUUAAGUUGUAAGUUCAAAAUCUACCUAGCCAUGGUUCAAACUUUGUUAAAUGAUGGAGAUGACAUUCGGCCAUGAAUGUUACGUUCUUGGUUGGUAUUUUGAUGUCUUUGGUGAUGAGGUAAGGAGAUGGUUGACUUUGGGUGUUUAAUAAAAGGGUUUGGAUGUGAGAGUGUGUGAGAAGUAGAAAUGAGGAGUCUUAGCAACUCCAUGAAGGUUCGACCAUGGUAGUUUGAGGAUUAGAGAUUUUAUUUCUUGUUAAAAAUUUGAUGAAUCCUAGUGUGUGAAGUGUUUGAACCAACUAAGGAUUAAUAGAUGCAUGGGUACAAAGUAGGAAGAAUCGGCUACUAUGGUUGACACCAAUGCCGAAUGUAAAGAUGUUAUAGUAAAUAAUGUAUGUGAUUUGAGUUGAUAAUGUGAAAAAGGAUAAUUAGAUGUAUUAUAAAUGAUAUAAAGAUUUUAGAAAUUAUUUUGGUUAGGUGUGUGUAUGAUUAAGUAUAUUCGGCAAUAUAUUUAAAGUGAGUAUUUGAUAUUAUAUGGGAGUAUGUAUAUUCGGCCACAUGAGUAAAUAUAUACAUGAUGUUAUAGUUGACAUUGUACACACAUACAUCCAUUCGGCCAUCAACAUGAGUAGUUAGUGAGGAUGGUUGCCGAAUAUACAAACAUACAUAAGCAUGUGUAAUUGAAUUAUGAAUGUUUAACAAGAUGGUUAAACUAGUGAAUUAUUGAUUAAGCUCAAGGAGCUAAAGGAGGAGAAUCAAGCAAAGGCAAAGAAAAGAUCACUGAGUAGCCGAGUUGGAACCGUCUUACCCAACACAAGGUAAGUCAUUAAGCAUGUAGUUGGUAUUGUUUCAAAUGGUCAUAAUGUUUAUGUAUUGAUGCUGAAUGGAAUGAAUAAAUAUACAUAUAUAUAUAUAUGCAUGUACGUAUGUGAUGAUGAAAUUGUUAAAUGAAAAGAAAAGAGGUAAGAUGUACUGAGUUGUUGAUCUCGGCACUAAACGUGCGGGUAUAACCAUUUAUGACCAUGAGAUUGGCGCUAAGUGCGCGGGAUUAAAUUGUACAGCACUAAGUGUGCGAUUUGACUAUGUUGCACUAAGUGUGCGAAAUGAAUAUGAUGCACUAAGUGUGCGAAUUGACCAUGCGGCACUAAGUGUGCGAGUUUGACUAUGUAGCACUAAGUGUGCGAUUUGAUUACGUAGCACUAAGUGUGCGAGUUGAUUAUAUAGCACUGAGUGUGCGGACUCAAUAUACAUUCGUGAAUCAUUAUGGACACUAUGUGUGCGACACUAUUGAGUCGAUCGCGGUCAGCGGAUCGGGUAAGUGUCUUGAGUACAUGGCUAAUAGGUGCUAUGCUUAUACUUGGUGUUGAGCUCGGUAAGUUUGAACCUAUGUGACAAAUAUACUUGAAGUCACGUACAUAAAAUUUAUCGUAGGAUGGGUGAAAGGCCGUUUAGUCGUUUGAUUGUAACGAAAAUAAAUUGAUUUAUGAAAAUGCCUCAAUGUCCUAUUGAUGAGUAUAUGGAAUGUGAAUGCAUGAAGUGAUAUGAAACUGAAUCGAUAGGUUGGAGGAACUAUGGUAUGGUUCGGUAUGGAUGGAGUAAAUUGUCUCGUUCCAUUUUGUUUCCUCUUGUGAUAAUGUUAUUGAUGGAUGGUAGUGCAUUUCUUAUGACUUACUGAGUUAUAAACUCACUCGGUGUUUCCUUGUCACCCAUUAUAGGUUGCUUGGACUCAUCUAUUUUUGCGGGGUCAGGCCGUCAUCGAAGUCAUCACACCGGAUAGCAAGUUUUGGUACUUUCUUCUUAGUUGGAUUAGAAGAACAUUUUGGCAUGUAUAAGCUAUUACGUUGUGUUUGAACUUUGGCAUGUAAACUUUAAGCCAUGCGAAAAUGGCACGAAUGUUCGAUUGAGUUGGAUCAAGGGUAGGCAUGAAAUGGACCUAGUUACUUUCGUAACAGAUGCUGGCAGCAGCAGUGUCAUGAGAUUGAAAAAUCACUAAAAAUAGUAGGAGUGGAAUUAAUUGAUGAAUAAAUUAUGUAAUCGAAGCUCGAUGAGUCUGUUUUCAUGAGCAAGUAACGAAAAGAUCAUAUGGGCAGUAUAUUAAGAGAUAAUCAGAUUUUUGUGGGACAGGGCCAGAACGGUUUCUGGAUUCCCUGCUCCGACUUUGGAAAUUCAUUAUAAAUUAACCAGAGAUAAUUAGGGGUCGUACCAUAUAUUUACAGAUUCCUCUCUGAGUCUAGUUUUCAUAGAAACAAACGGCAUCAGUAUUGAAGCCCCGUGAAGGUAGAUAUCCAAGUCGUAAUGGGCAAAGGUCAGUGUAGUCGACCCCUGCAACAUGGGAGACUUUGACUAAUAAACUGUACUAAUUGGCCCGACCAAAAAUUCUAGAAAAAAAUAAAUAGAUGGGCACAUGAGUCUAGUUUCUGGGAAAAAUCACGAAACUGAUUUUCGAGUUACGAAACUCAAGAUAUGAUUUUUAAAACGACUAGUACACAGAUUGGGCAGUGUCUGGAAAAUAAAUUUUAUAAGGGGUUAAAGUCAGUUAACACCUCGUGUUCGACUCCGGUGUCGGUUUCGGGUUCGGGGUGUUACAAGAAUUAUUACUGAAGUUUUGGGUCCUGAAAGGUAUGGUCGGGUUCAAAUUCAAGGAUCUGGUGUUAACCUAACCCAAUAUUUUGGAUCCAGCUCGCAGCAAUACAUGCCUUCGGGGAGUCAAGCUCAAGCUGAAGUUCAGAGGUUAAAAGAUCAGAUGGCUCAGAUACAAGCGAGCACAGGUGAGCAAAUUGCUCAACUUAAAGCGGAGGCAGCAUCACUUAAAGAGGAGGCAGCAGCGAGGGAAGCAGAACAAAAUAGAAAAUACAACGAACUCCAGCUACAGCUUCAGAAUAUGAUGCAGACGUUUCAACAGUCCCAGAAGCCACUAUCUUAGACGUUUAUUUCCUUAUUGUAAGAAUGUUUUAACAAUAUAACUUUUAACAUUACUGUAAAAAUAUUUUGUUAUUUCAUUUAUAAAUAUAUCUUUCGUUGAA